AACACUGUUAACCUGCGGUACCUGCGGAAGGAUCAUUACGAGAGUGUCACCACUCCCAACCCAUUGUUUACCUACCCGUCCACCGUGCUUCGGCAGGCAGCCCUGUGGGACAGAGCCUCGCCCCCUUUCGCGGGGGGUGCCUGCCGCUUGCCAACCAAAACUCUAGCUGUUUUAGUACCAUCUGAGUCUUCCACAAAUGAACAAAACUUUCAGCAAUGGAUCUCAGAUCGGAAGAGCACA
rnacentral:misc_RNA from 1 species